rnacentral:pre_miRNA from 2 species
UUUUACAGAUGAGCAAAGACAGUAGUUUUUUGAGCUGGAAUCCACUCCUGGUGAAGAUGUUGUGAA